UUAGAGUUUGAUCCUGGCUCAGGAUGAACGCUAGCGGCAGGCUUAACACAUGCAAGUCGAGGGGCAGCAUGGGAGUAGCAAUACUUCUGAUGGCGACCGGCGCACGGGUGCGUAACGCGUAUGCAACCUACCUGUAACAGGGGGAUAACACUGAGAAAUCGGUACUAAUACCGCAUAACACUAUGAGAGGCAUCUCUUGUGGUUGAAAGUUUCGGCGGUUACAGAUGGGCAUGCGUUGUAUUAGCUGGUUGGUAAGGUAACGGCUUACCAAGGCGACGAUACAUAGGGGGACUGAGAGGUUAACCCCCCACAUUGGUACUGAGACACGGACCAAACUCCUACGGGAGGCAGCAGUGAGGAAUAUUGGUCAAUGGACGGAAGUCUGAACCAGCCAUGCCGCGUGCAGGAAGACGGCUCUAUGAGUUGUAAACUGCUUUUGUACAAGGGUAAACCUGAAUACGUGUAUUCAGCUGAAAGUACUGUACGAAUAAGGAUCGGCUAACUCCGUGCCAGCAGCCGCGGUAAUACGGAGGAUCCAAGCGUUAUCCGGAUUUAUUGGGUUUAAAGGGUGCGUAGGCGGAUUGAUAAGUUAGAGGUGAAAUGUCCGAGCUCAACUCGGGAACUGCCUCUAAUACUGUUGAUCUAGAGAGUAGAUGCGGUAGGCGGAAUGUAUGGCGUAGCGGUGAAAUGCUUAGAGAUCAUACAGAACACCGAUUGCGAAGGCAGCUUACCAAUCUAUAUCUGACGUUGAGGCACGAAAGCGUGGGGAGCAAACAGGAUUAGAUACCCUGGUAGUCCACGCAGUAAACGAUGAUAGCUCGUUGUCGGCGAUACACAGUCGGUGACUAAGAGAAAUCGAUAAGCUAUCCACCUGGGGAGUACGUUCGCAAGAAUGAAACUCAAAGGAAUUGACGGGGGCCCGCACAAGCGGAGGAACAUGUGGUUUAAUUCGAUGAUACGCGAGGAACCUUACCCGGGCUUGAAAGUUAGUGACUGAUCUGGAAACAGGUCUUCCCUUCGGGGCACGAAACUAGGUGCUGCAUGGUUGUCGUCAGCUCGUGCCGUGAGGUGUCGGGUUAAGUCCCAUAACGAGCGCAACCCCUACUGAUAGUUGCCAUCAGGUCAAGCUGGGCACUCUAUCGGGACUGCCGGUGUAAGCCGGAGGAGGGUGGGGAUGACGUCAAAUCAGCACGGCCCUUACGUCCGGGGCGACACACGUGUUACAAUGGUAGGUACAGAGGGCAGCUACCCAGCGAUGGGGUGCAAAUCUCGAAAGCCUAUCUCAGUUCGGAUUGGAGGCUGAAACUCGCCUCCAUGAAGUUGGAUUCGCCAGUAAUCGCGCAUCAGCCAUGGCGCGGUGAAUACGUUCCCGGGCCUUGCACUCACCGCCCGUCA
rnacentral:rRNA from 1 species